rnacentral:rRNA from 1 species
CUGAUUUUGAGAGUUUGAUCCUGGCUCAGGACGAACGCUGGCGGCGUGCCUAAUACAUGCAAGUCGCGCGGCUUGAUUCAGAGCUUGCUCUGAGGAUGGCAGCG